AGUAGUAGCCAAGACAUAGCAAUUCAAAUCUUGGAUGAUUUGAAUAGUAAAAUUCGGGCCAGGGAUGGAACGUAUUUUACGGUGCGUUAAGUGGCUUGGCGGAGACG
rfam:Kangiella koreensis DSM 16069, complete genome.